rnacentral:misc_RNA from 1 species
CGCACCUUGCGCUCCUUGGUAUUCCGAGGAGCAUGCCUGUUUGAGUGUCUUGAAGUCAUCAACCCCUCCCGUUUCGUGCGGGUUCGGGUUGGAUCUGGGGGCUUGCUGCCGUGAGGCGGCUCCCCUCAAAUGCAUCGGUUGGGCCUGUGGGUCGAACUCGUUCUGGGUGUUGUAUCAACCUCGCUCUAACGGGAUGUUCCCCUUCCGUGCCCGACUCCGACCUGCCUUUGGAGUGGCGGUCAAGCUAAACUUUGAAAUCUGACCUCAAAUCAGGUAGGACUACCCGCUGAACUUAA